UACGUAGGGGGCUAGCGUUGUCCGGAUUUAUUGGGCGUAAAGAGCGUGUAGGCGGCCAGGUAGGUCUGCUGUGAAAACUCGAGGCUCAACCUCGAGAUGUCGGCGGAAACCAUCUGGCUAGAGUCCGGAAGAGGAGAGUGGAAUUCCUGGUGUAGCGGUGAAAUGCGUAGAGAUCAGGCGGAACACCCGUGGCGAAGGCGGCCAGCUGGGCCGUCCCUGACGCUGAGGCGCGAAGGCGUGGGGAGCGAACGGGG
rnacentral:rRNA from 1 species